UACGUAGGGCGCAAGCGUUAUCCGGAAUUAUUGGGCGUAAAGAGCUCGUAGGCGGUUUGUCGCGUCUGCCGUGAAAGUCCGGGGGCUCAACUCCGGAUCUGCGGUGGGUACGGGCAGACUAGAGUGAUGUAGGGGGAGACUGGAAUUCCUGGUGUAGCGGUGGAAUGCGCAGAUAUCAGGAGGAACACCGGUGGCGAAGGCGGGUCUCUGGGCCAUUACUGACGCUGAGGAGCGAAAGCGUGGGGAGCGAACAGG
rnacentral:rRNA from 1 species